rfam:Neotoma lepida isolate 417 scaffold_1407, whole genome shotgun sequence.
AUUACAUAGUCUCCUUCCAGGACCUACCCUCUUCCCUGGGAUGGCGUCGCAGUCCCCAGAACUUAAGUGAGGGUGGGUUGUGCGCACUGCGGCUAAUUGCGUCUUUGGUCCACAC